AACCAUCGGCCGGGAAUCGAACCCGGUGCGCCCGCGUGGCAGGCGAGCAUUCUACCACUGAACCAAAAGCAAACAGU
rnacentral:tRNA from 1 species